ACGCACGGGGCCGUAUUGCCUCAUAGAUUCUGCAGAUUAUUGACGAAGCAUCUCAAAUUCUUAAUCUAAAUCCAGUUCCUCUUCCAUGUAAUAUUUUUCCGAUUACCUUUGGUUUUACACACACGCACACUAAAGUGCACAAAGCAAUGCAGUCAGGUGCUGAAAUUAAUUAAAUCUUUGAAACACAUCACUGCAAUAGCCGCAGAUUAGGUUUUCUAACCCAAAUGCUGGAGGUAGUGUUUGUCCUUAAUUGUCCAAGAUUAGAGAAAAUCCCCUUCAUGACCUUUUCCCCAUAGAUGAAAAUGAGGAGGAAGUUUAAGUAAAAGUAGAAAAAAUACAGACCUUGAAAUAUUAGUAUGUAAUUUCUAUUCCAGGGGUGAUUUUUUAAAAUAAUGGAGUUGAAUGAUUUACAUAUUCUAAACAAUAAUCGGGUCUUUUUUUUCCCAAAACAAGAUCUUUGGAGUGAAUGUUAUAGUCCUCCUGUAAAACAAAGACUAGCAGCACUAAAAGCAUGUGGAGGAGCUUCAUAGUUUCUGCAGCUUACGUUUUGUCAAGCCAAAUAACUGGAAAGAAGGGGAAAUCCUUCUGUGGCAUGAAGAAUGAAGUGGAAAUUCCAAAACAGUUCUUGAAGAUUUCUUCCCCAUGAGUGUGUCAGCUUCAACGUAACUGAAAUUUGUCAACUUUGAGGGAACUUUCUGAUGCCCCCUUGAGGAGAUUCUUAUGUGUGUGGGAGUUAACAUAGCGGGUGACUGUUCAACUGCAAGGUAAACUAAGUGUAUUACUUUUCUCUAAGUAAGGCCCCUGUAAGUUGCACAUGUUCACAAUAUUUCUACAGACUUUGUUAAGCUACCGUGCAAGCAAGACUUGUGGCUCUCAAAUCUGUCUGUAAUUUUGCCUGUGCCUAAAUAUGUGUAGCAGAAUUGUUGAAUACAACAACUAUAGGACAGCCUCUGCCAUUUUAUAUUGAGGAUGAUACUUGUAGGACCAUUAAUGUAGGUGAGGCUCUCAGACUCAACCCUCUGCGAUCUCAAAUUUUUGAUAAAAUGCUAUUACAGAUCCUAUAUGCCUUGUACUUCGGCCUGCUAGCGCUGAGAGACUCAUGGCAGUCCAGGGAUACAUCUGGUUGCAGACUCCAAGAGUGGCUGCAGCUCAAGAAGUUCUGUCCAAACUGGAAACCAAUAGACCAGUUAAAAUAUUAGCACUUUAGCUACAGUGACCCCCUAAUGUGUUUGCACAGCCUACACUACUGUAACUAAGUUUCUGCUAGUAUCUGAGCAGACUCAUUAAAAUUUAUCUCAGUAUACAUACUCAAGCUAUAAUUAUGUUGCCAAAUAACUAUGUAUAGAUACCAGUAGAAGAAUUCAGGAAACAAUCAUUUAGAACAGUCUUUCCCCCCCACUUGCGGUGUUUGCCAUGCUGUGAAAUAUAAGACUUAAGAUGACAGGAAAAAAUAGUUUUAAAACAUUUUCAGAAGUGAAAAGCACUCUAAAAUGCCAGCUUCUGCAAAAGCAAUGUUCUCUUUAAAACAAUUGAACGAAGUCCGAUUGAUCUU